AAUCAGAAUGUUGCGGUGAAUACGUUCCCGGGCCUUGUACACACCGCCCGUCACACCAUGGGAGUGGGUUGUACCAGAAGUAGAUAGCUUAACCUUCGGGAGGGCGUUUACCACGGUAUGAUUCAUGACUGGGGUGAAGUCGUAACAAGGUAACCGUAGGGGAACCUGCGGUUGGAUCACCGCCUUACC
rnacentral:rRNA from 1 species